GUAGCAAUAGCUCAAUUGGACAGAGCACAAACCUUCUAAGUUUGCGGUUGUAGGUUCGAGUCCUACUUGCUACG